UACGUAGGAGGCAAGCGUUGUCCGGAGUUACUGGGCGUAAAGCGUGUGUAGGCGGUUGGCUGCGUCCGGUGUGAAAUCUCCCGGCUUACCUGGGAGGGGGCAUCGGAUACGAGCGGACUUGAGGGCAUCAGAGGCCAGUAGAACUCCCGGUGGACCAGUGAAAUGGGUAGAGAUCGGGAAGAAUACCAGUGGUGCAGACGGCCGGCUGGGGUGUACCUGACGCUGAGACACGAAAGCAUGGGGAGCAAACAGG
rnacentral:rRNA from 1 species